rnacentral:rRNA from 1 species
AACGAACGCUGGCGGCGUGUUUAAGACAUGCAAGUCGAACGGGGUGAAGUUGUAGUAAUACCGCUUCACCCAGUGGCGCACGGGUGCGUAACACGUGAGUUACAUGCCCUGCAGUGGGGAAUAGCCCGCCGAAAGGCGGAUUAAUACCCCAUGGUCCCGCAAGGGUAAAGGUGGCGCAAGCUGCCGCUGCAGGAUUGGCUCGCGGCCUAUCAGCUAGUUGGUGAGGUAACGGCUCACCAAGGCGACGACGGGUACCUGGUCUGAGAGGAUGAUCAGGCACACUGGAACUGAGACACGGUCCAGACACCUACGGGUGGCAGCAGUCGAGAAUAAUUCACAAUGGGGGAAACCCUGAUGGUGCAACGCCGCGUGGAGGAUGAAGGUCUUCGGAUUGUAAACUCCUGUCAUCGGGGAGUAAGACCUGAGCGUGAAUAGCGCACAGGGUUGAUAGUACCCGAAGAGGAAGGGACGGCUAACUUCGUGCCAGCCGCCGCGGUAAAAC